AGCGAACGCUGGCGGCGUGCUUAACACAUGCAAGUCGAACGUGAAAUGUAGCAAUACAGAGUAAAGUGGCGUACGGGUGAGUAACACGUGGGUAAUCUACCAAAGUGCCUGGAAUAACCGGCCGAAAGGCUGGCUAAUACUAGAUAGUUCAAGCCAUCUGUAAGGGAUGGAUUGGGAAAGGGAGCGGGUAACCGCCUUCACAUUUUGAUGAGCCCGCGUCUGAUUAGGUAGUUGGUGAGGUAAUGGCUCACCAAGCCUGAGAUCAGUAGCUGGUCUGAGAGGAUGAUCAGCCACACUGGAACUGAAACACGGUCCAGACUCCUACGGGAGGCAGCAGUGGGGAAUCUUGCACAAUGGGCGAAAGCCUGAUGCAGCGACGCCGCGUGAGCGAAGAAGGCCUCGGUGUAAAGCUCUGUCUGGAGGGACGAAGGAAGUGACGGUACCUCCGGAGGAAGCCACGGCUAACUACGUGCCAGCAGCGC
rnacentral:rRNA from 1 species